ACGUAUCUCUGACGGCGGAGGCGCGCCCUGCUCCGGACCGAAAAGUCCGUGCAGCGGGUGCGCCCGAGUCGCUCAACCAUCGCAAACCCACCGUGCACUCUUGUCGGCGAGGGGCCCAGCGCCCCGAGCCGGAUCGCAAACACCUUUUAAAACAGAAUGAUCAGCGGACCUGCGUGCCGCCUAAACUUAAA
rnacentral:misc_RNA from 1 species